AGUGCAAUUGCUGGAUCAUAUGGUAAGAGUAUGUUUAGUUUUGUGAGAAAAUGCCAAACUGUCCUCCAAAGUGGCUGUACUAUUUUGCAUUUCCACCAGUAGU
rnacentral:pre_miRNA from 1 species